AUGAACGCUAGCUACAGGCUUAACACAUGCAAGUCGAGGGGCAGCAUGAACUUAGCUUGCUAAGUUUGAUGGCGACCGGCGCACGGGUGAGUAACACGUAUCCAACCUGCCGAUGACUCGGGGAUAGCCUUUCGAAAGAAAGAUUAAUACCCGAUGGCAUAGUUCUUCCGCAUGGUAGAACUAUUAAAGAAUUUCGGUCAUCGAUGGGGAUGCGUUCCAUUAGGUUGUUGGCGGGGUAACGGCCCACCAAGCCUUCGAUGGAUAGGGGUUCUGAGAGGAAGGUCCCCCACAUUGGAACUGAGACACGGUCCAAACUCCUACGGGAGGCAGCAGUGAGGAAUAUUGGUCAAUGGACGAGAGUCUGAACCAGCCAAGUAGCGUGAAGGAUGACUGCCCUAUGGGUUGUAAACUUCUUUUAUACGGGAAUAAAGUGAGGCACGUGUGCCUUUUUGUAUGUACCGUAUGAAUAAGGAUCGGCUAACUCCGUGCCAGCAGCCGCGGUAAUACGGAGGAUCCGAGCGUUAUCCGGAUUUAUUGGGUUUAAAGGGAGCGUAGGCGGACGCUUAAGUCAGUUGUGAAAGUUUGCGGCUCAACCGUAAAAUUGCAGUUGAUACUGGGUGUCUUGAGUACAGUAGAGGCAGGCGGAAUUCGUGGUGUAGCGGUGAAAUGCUUAGAUAUCACGAAGAACUCCGAUUGCGAAGGCAGCUUGCUGGACUGUAACUGACGCUGAUGCUCGAAAGUGUGGGUAUCAAACAGGAUUAGAUACCCUGGUAGUCCACACAGUAAACGAUGAAUACUCGCUGUUUGCGAUAUACAGUAAGCGGCCAAGCGAAAGCGUUAAGUAUUCCACCUGGGGAGUACGCCGGCAACGGUGAAACUCAAAGGAAUUGACGGGGGCCCGCACAAGCAGUGGAGUAUGUGGUUUAAUUCGAAGCAACGCGAAGAACCUUACCAGGGCUUGACAUAUGGGUGAAGCGGGGGAGACCCCGUGGCCGAGAGGAGCCCAUACAGGUGGUGCAUGGCUGUCGUCAGCUCGUGUCGUGAGAUGUUGGGUUAAGUCCCGCAACGAGCGCAACCCCUGUUUCUAGUUGCCAGCAUGUAAAGAUGGGAACUCUAGAAAGACUGCCGUAGAUAAUACGGAGGAAGGUGGGGAUGACGUCAAAUCAUCAUGCCCUUUAUGUCCUGGGCUACACACGUACUACAAUGGCGUUAAACAAAGAGAAGCAAGACCGCGAGGUGGAGCAAAACUCAGAAACAACGUCCCAGUUCGGACUGCAGUCUGCAACUCGACUGCACGAAGCUGGAAUCGCUAGUAAUCGCGGAUCAGCACGCCGCGGUGAAUACGUUCCCGGGCCUUGUACACACCGCCCGUCACACCAUGGGAGUCAGUAACGCCCGAAGUCAGUGACCUAACCGCAAGGGAGGAGCUGCCGAAGGCGGGACCGAUGACUGGGGUG
rnacentral:rRNA from 1 species